CGAUGGCAGUAGUGCGGCUGUGCGUAAACCUACCUAUUCCGCAGAAACUGUUGCUCCUGCUUCCUCUUCGUUCUGCUUCGCCCAGCGUAUCCCUAUACCUCAAGCUCUCACUCUCUUCUCAUUUACUUCUUGAGAUACAUUUUCGCACCUGAACCACCUUCGUUCUUCAGUUCAUAUCAGGGAUCACUGUGUGUUAUUUGGGCCAAUCGUAUGGAAUGAUGGAGCGCGCCUGAAAUCUGUUCGACACAAUGACUGUGAGGGAAUUUCAAACUCAUUUGUCCUCUUAUUUCGAAUUCCUUAUUACCGAACCAUCAUCUGUUCCUCAAUCAGGAAACACUUGAGUAGUUCUGGCGUUGUGGGCUCUCAUUCAACCGGUCAAUUUCUUGUUCCUCCACCGGUGAUUCUAGCAUUUUCUUUGAGGUGCAAGAGAGCGGGCAUGCUUCUGUUUCACUGUGUUGUUGAGUAGAGGAAGGUGCAACUUUUGGUUCAAUUGUCACCAUUGAUGACGUGAAUUUCUUGGCUAAAAGGACCAAAGAUUGCAGGGAAUGGCAGUUUUUUCCAGGGAUGGAAGUGUAAAGGUUUGAAAUGAAGGAAAAACAGCUUCUUGAUUUGUCAUGCCUAUAUAUUCAAUAUAUGGCUUGUGCUUUGGGGUAUCUGGUUUCAGGAUUGAAACAAAAAUUAUGGACUUUAUAAAACGAAAGGAUCAAAACUACAUAUUGAACAUAGAUGCGGAAAGUUGUGAAUUCUAGGAUAGGAAGCUUAAGAAAAUCGCCUUAUAAAAUAGAGUUCAGUUUUCACAUAUGUUCAGCAUAAAGUGUUGUAACAGUGAAUUAAUGGAAAAUUAUAGAACUUUUUAAAACAGUAAUCAUAAAUUCAACAGGUUUAUUAUGUGAUAAUAUAUUACUGAGUGACAGUGUAAGAAAACCUUCUUCAUGCUUGUUACUUAAAAUCAUUUAAUAGCAGCUAAAUCAAAACAGUCCUUCAAACAUCACCAAGAAAGUAUCUGUUGUCUAGUUGUGUGAAAUGAACAAGUUCUUUGGGUGUAAAUACAAGAGCAUUGGAUAAAAACUUUGCAUUCACCAACCCUUAAGCGCUGGUGUGAUCUUGGCUGUUGCAGUAGGUAAGUCAUUUUACUGGUUGUAAUCUUAAGAGGUUUCCUACGUCAACUAUCUAUGAUGGCAAACAAACAAAAAUCAAAGGGACAAGUUUGAAUGUUAUUCUGCUUUCUCAAGUUUCAAGGUUUAGGCAAGAUCUUUCUCAUGUCAGCUAUACGAAGAUGUUGAAGGGUAUUUUGGAGUUCUCAUCACUCGUUAUUACAUACUUAAGUUACUUUGAAGCCAUGGAAUAAGACCAGCAAACGAGAUGCUUGAGAGAAAAUUGAAGCAAGGUGGUGCCCUUGGCCUCUUUGGACUGUUUGAAUUGGAGCUGAAUGGGCUUGAAAAGCCAGCAGAAACGCUGACCCUGGUCCCUCUUCGUUGCUGCUGAUAGGCCGAUUCUUAAUUAGACCGUUAUGUUAGACUGAUUCUUAAUUAAGACAUAAUGUUAGGCUGAUUCUUAAUUAGGCAGUUACAAUAGAUUGGACUGCUGCAUUGGAUGAUUGAGCCGCCGGCAUGGACUCUUCAAUUAGUGUAACGCAGCCUUUGGAAGCUGUUGCUGCUACUUAGAGGUCCCUCUCCAGCACUUCAUUUUGGUAAAGAGAACAAACUCUCUAGAAAGAUCGGAUGAUCGGAAGGCAUGGAAAGAAAGAUGAACGGAGACCGCUGGAUCAAGAAGAAGAAGUUUCAAAGGUUUCUCGUUCUUAUUUCCUGUUUUCUUUCUUUAUCUUCUGUGUUCUCUGAACCUAUAAAAGGGUAUGUACCCAGUUCUAGUGAAACAGUGGAGGGCGGCGACGAUUCAUCGCAAGCGAGAGUGAGAAAAUUAAAUUAAAAAAUUAAAUUAAAUGACAAGAAAAACAAGAAAAUUAAAUGAAUAUUGAAUUAAAUUCUUGAAACCUUCAAGUUUGAAUCCAUUAUUACUUUUGUU